UGGAGUUUACAGCCAACAAUAAUUAUACCCCUUUCCCAUAUUUGGGAGCUACUCUCUUCCCUGAUCCAGCUUCUGGUCUUUUUCUAGCCAUGACAUCAUCUCCCCAGACAAUAACAUGGAUCCACCUGUAUAUCAGAUUUCAGGUUCAGGGAAAAAAAAAAAAAACUAGUAUAGUCACGGGCCCUUUGGAAUAUAACUAAAAUAGGCCUACUAGCUAUCUACAAAAUGGAGGACAACCCCCCCCCCCCAACUCUCCAUCUGCAGUAUUCCAGCCUUUAGGUUCAUGAUUAGUCAACAACUUGUUUGGCUUUAUAUGUUAACUCUCUUUUCAACCACCAGGCUCCAGUUCCAGAUGCCAUCAGGAUGCUGGCCAGGCUUCCCUGGAUUGAAGACCUCACCAGUGUGGCCUGAAGCUCAGCUUCCCCAGAGACACACCCUACUA